AAAUGGCCCGUAAUUAAGGUUCGCUAAGUGGUCGGAGAGGUUCAAGUCAAUGGAUUUGCACCCCACUAAGUCAUGAUCAUGAGGCACUCCCGGGAGGUGGUGGUCGGCGUGGACCCGCGCACCGGGGCACCCGUCGUGAGGCGCGACAAGGUGUGGAACUACACCAUCGCGGACAUUGCUCUCCUCGCGUUCGGCACCAACUUCCCUCAGAUCUCCCUCGCCACCAUCGACGCCAUCCGUAACCUCGGUCAACUCACAGCAGGAGGUCUAGGUCCAGGCACACUCAUCGGCUCUAUGGCGUUUGAUCUGUUUCUGAUCCACGCUGUCUGUGUGGUUAUGCCAAGGGCGGGAUCAAAGAUGAAGAUCUCAGACCUGGGCAUUUGGUUAGUCGAGCUCUUCUGGUCUUUCUGGGCCUAUAUCUGGCUCUAUGUCAUCUUAGAGGUGUGGACGCCUAGAGUGAUCACCCUCUGGGAGGCAUAGCUGACAGUCCUGCAGUAUGGGCUGCUUCUGCUCCAUGCGUAUGCGCAGGAUAAACGGUGGCCAUUUGUGUUGAUCCCAUUUUUCACUAGAUCGGGAGAAACCAGAACAGGUGCGCAGGACAGAUUAUCUCAAUGGAGCUGGUAGCACCCCACUUCACUAUGCUGCUUGUGGUGGAAAUGUUGUCUAUUGUCAAGUAUGUGCCGCGAUCAGUGCGAGAGGUGAGAGGCCUGAAGAUUGGGUUCCACCAGAAGAUGUUUCUGCUGUUUAUUACGCCAAAUGUGAUGGCAUUGACGAGACACUCCCUAUGGGUGCUGACGGGAACGAUGGGAUUGUAGACAUCUUCUCUGCACAUUCCUACUACGAUGCAGCAGAGUACAGUCAACUUGCAGAAGAGGAUAUGGAAGGAUCGUCAACAAUGGAUCAAGUUGUAAAGAACACACAAGAGAACAUGUCCUGGCUUUCUAUUUGGUGGCAACAAUUUGUUGAUGCUUCUAUGGUAAUUUGGUUCGUCGUUGGUCUCUUUAUGUGUACUGAAUAGCAAGUCAUUUAUUGUUGCAUUUGGCAAGGACAUUAUUUUUUCCCUGCUGGCUUCCUGCUCUACGAGAAGAAGCAAGUGAAACAGGUGCAUGCUUUUGCUUGCUGUCGCAGAUGCCCCUGAUGGCAAGCUUCAGCAAUCGUCAAGUACAAAGACAUCCUCCCGUGCGAAAUUCAAUUUGCCAAAUCCUAAUCUCUUCUAUAUAUCCUCAUAGAUCGCAGCGAUGGAGCCGGAUCCGGUCGCCGCUGGGGCAUCCUCCUCGUCGCCGCCUUCACCAGCGCCGGCCACGUCCCCGCCGUGGCAAACGCAAGCAAUUACAUAUAGGUUCAGAAAGGACAAUGAGAAAGCAAAAAUGCUUUUGAGAAGGCCUCAAAAGGACAGGAAAUGAUCUCCUCGUAUCCUUUGGAAAUUUCAGAACCUAUACGCUUUUGAUGGUGCAAAACGAAUGUUUUUUGGUGCAAAACGAAUGUUUUUUGGUGGUGAAAGAUUUUUGGAAGGAAUAUCUGGAGAGGCUAACAUUAGUGGUUUGAGUUUUAUUUUUAUAACAUGUUGUGUAACUUAUUAACUUGUUCAUUUUUGCUGAACUUCCCUUUUCCUGGGUUUCUUGGCUCGCACUUUGCUUUGAACGUCAGAUCACGGUCCAGCGGACAGAACAGAACAAUCCACUUGGGCUUGAGGUUCAGCUACAUAUUACAGAAGUUGUCUGUCCUGCCUUAAGUGAACCUGGCUUACGGGCCUUUCUUCCAUUUAUGACUGGGGUAUCUGUGUGCCUAAAUAGGGGAGACAUAGAUCCAAAAGCUCAACAGCUUGCAGAAGCAGCAGGAUCUUCAUUGGUGUCCAUUAUCGUAGAUCACAUAUUCCUCUAUAUUAAAGAUACUGAGUUUCAACUUGAACUUCUCAUGCGGUCUUUGUUCUUCUCACGGGCAAGCAUUUCAGACGGCGAAUGCUCAAAGAACUUAUCUUGCAUCAAGGUCGGCGGGAUGUUUCUGAGGUACUAUAUCUGUCCUUGUUACUCAAGACUACACAAGUCCUGAUGGUUGUGUCAUUCACUUACAAAUUGAGGCAUUGUGACCCCUCACGCCUAAAGUAUUGAAUGACAUUAGACCAAUAUUAUUUUGGUUAAGGCAUAACUGAGGUUCCUGACGGUUCUGAAUAUAGGAUAUUGUGACUGUCCGUGUCAAAAGUAUCAAAUGUCAUAUAACUGUCAUUAACAAUGAACUUGGCUGACAUUGCCCCCUCAGUGUCUGAUUCACGUUUUUUUUCCUGGUGGGCACGCUCUAUCAAGCUGGUGCCCAAAAUAAUUCGGAAGGUGUUUCUCUUACAAUGUUUGGAAUUGUGAUUUUAUUAUACUUCUUUAUA